UAUGUGAUCGUCUCUCGCAUAUCAAUAAGCGGAGGAAAAGAAACUAACAAGGAUUCCCCUAGUAACGGCGAGUGAAGCGGGAAGAGCUCAAAUUUGAAAUCUUAAAGGGUUUCCCUUUACGAAUUGUAGUUUAAAGAAGUGUUUUCUGUUGAGGUUUUGGUAAAAGUUCUUUGGAAUAGGACAUCAUAGAGGGUGAGAAUCCCGUAUUUGACCUUUACUUUCAACUUUGUGAUACACUUUCAAAGAGUCGGAUUGUUUGGGAAUGCAGUCCAAAAUGGGUGGUAAAUUUCAUCUAAAGCUAAAUAUUGGCGAGAGACCGAUAGCGAACAAGUACCGUGAGGGAAAGAUGAAAAGAACUUUGAAAGAGAGAGUUAAACAGUACGUGAAAUUGUCAAAAGGGAAGCGUUUGACACCAGUGUUGUUUUUCUGAAAAUCAAUUAAAGAACUGUUUAUGCUAAGUUGUUUAGACUUUAUCAGCUAUCUGUUUAGUUUUGAGCUUUUCUUUAAUGCACUUUUCAGUUAACAAGUCAACAUCAAUUUCUUUUGCUGUAAAAAAGCUUGAGGAAGGUGGCUUGAGAUUCGUCUUAAGUGUUUAUAGCCUCUUGCCUAUGCAGUCGGAGAGAUUGAGGUCUGCAGCGUAGAUCCUUCGGGGCUAAAUGCAUUUGUGCUAAGUUAUAGCAUUUUAUAGACAACUUGUUGACUAUGAUUUGUCUUGUAGCUUACUCGCUUAUGUUAUUUUACCUACGCUUAGGAUGUUGAGCGCAUGUCUCUCUCU
rnacentral:rRNA from 1 species